GUAGGUGAUCCUGCGGAAGGAUCAUUAUUGAAAUCGUAGUCUUCGGACUCACCUCUCUAACCUUUCAUACCUGUGCACAUUUAUGAACCGAGUGCUAUUCAACUUUGGCCGACGCCUCGGGUCGGUCAUUCUAUCAACCAACGAUGUUUAUAAGAAUGCUAUCUGUCUCGUUGUAAUGAUGAGUACAACCCCUAAACUUUCAACAACGGAUCACUAGGCUCAG
rnacentral:misc_RNA from 1 species